GGCUCGAUGGCGGAGGGUCCGCACUUGCAUUCCAUACGUACGGAGCACACAUGCAUUCAUGCAGGCGUUGCCCGUUCGACUCGGGCUCGAGCUA